UCCUCUCCGCCCCGCCCAGGCGAAAGGCGCGCCGGGAGGCCGCCGCGGCCCUCCCCGUCCCUGCCGCCGGGGUUCAGCCGGGGCUGCCUUGAGGCGGGGAGCCCUCCCUGCCAGGUAGGAGGCGGAGGGUUUGCAGAAUCGCUGCCAAGCUUGGCACGGUGCGAGGGAGGCUGGGAACCGUCUUACCCGAGGCUGGAGACCUUUUAUCGGAUGAUUUUAUUUGCGGGGGGGAGCAUCUCAACGCUUGCGACGGUUUUCUAGCACUUCCACUGGCCUGUUGAAACGAUUCACACAGCCGGGAGUCCUAAGUUCCAUGGGAAGGAAUAUUGCAAGAGAUAACUGUAUGUCUCUGAAGAAGAUUAGCAGGGUAUCCAUGAUACACCAAAA